rnacentral:rRNA from 1 species
UACGGAGGAUGCAAGCGUUAUCCGGAAUGAUUGGGCGUAAAGCGUCCGCAGGUGGCUAUGUAAGUCUGCUGUUAAAGAGUGAGGCUCAACCUCAUAAGAGCAGUGGAAACUACAUGGCUAGAGUGCGUUCGGGGCAGAGGGAAUUCCGGGUGUAGUGGUGGAAUGCGUAGAGAUCCGGAGGAACACCAGCGGCGAAGGCGGCAUCCUGGACUGGUCCUGACACUCAGGAGCGAAAGCGUGGGGAGCGAUCCGG